rnacentral:rRNA from 1 species
GACGGAGGAUCCGAGCGUUAUCCGGAUUUAUUGGGCUUAAAGGGUGCGUAGGCGGCCUAUUAAGUCAGGGGUGAAAGACGGUAGCUUAACUAUCGCAGUGCCUUUGAUACUGAUAGGCUUGAAUGUACUUGAGGUAGGCGGAAUGUGACAAGUAGCGGUGAAAUGCAUAGAUAUGUCACAGAACACCAAUUGCGAAGGCAGCUUACUAAAGUAUGAUUGACGCUGAGGCACGAAAGCGUGGGGAUCAAACAGG